CCUACGGGUGGCAGCAGUGAGGAAUAUUGGUCAAUGGGCGAGAGCCUGAACCAGCCAAGUCGCGUGAGGGAAGACGGUCCUAUGGAUUGUAAACCUCUUUUGUCGGGGAGCAAAAAGGCCUCGUGAGGCCACAAGUGAGAGUACCUGAAGAAAAAGCAUCGGCUAACUCCGUGCCAGCAGCCGCGGUAAUACGGAGGAUGCGAGCGUUAUCCGGAUUUAUUGGGUUUAAAGGGUGCGUAGGCGGAAUGCCAAGUCAGCGGUAAAAUCGCGGGGCUCAACCUCGCUCCGCCGUUGAAACUGGCGUUCUUGAGUGGGCGAGAAGUAUGCGGAAUGCGUGGUGUAGCGGUGAAAUGCAUAGAUAUCACGCAGAACUCCGAUUGCGAAGGCAGCAUACCGGCGCCCAACUGACGCUGAAGCACGAAAGCGUGGGUAUCGAACAGGAUUAGAUACCCGAGUAGUC
rnacentral:rRNA from 1 species